UACUUAACUCAGGUUAACCUAACACAAGAGCAUUCAAGAAAGAUUAAAAGAAAAAGAAGGAAUUCGGCAAAUAACAACCCCGCCUGUUUACCAAAAACAUCGCCUCUUGCUAAAAUAUAAGAGGUCCAGCCUGCCCAGUGACCCAGUUCAACGGCCGCGGUAUCCUAACCGUGCGAAGGUAGCGUAAUCACUUGUUCUUUAAAUGGGGACUAGUAUGAAUGGCAUCACGAGGGUUGAACUGUCUCCUUUCUCUAAUCAGUGAAACUAAUCUCCCCGUGAAGAAGCGGGAAUCAUUUUAUAAGACGAGAAGACCCUAUGGAGCUUAAAACAAAUUGACACAUGCUUCCACCUACUUCAAUUCCUGAAUAAAUAUACAAAAUAUAGCAUCAUUGAUUAAUAGUUUUAGAUUGGGGUGAUCAUGGAGCAAAAAACAACCUCCACGACGAAAAGGAAUAUUCCCUGAGCCAAAAGCCACAACUUUAAGCACUAAAAAAUUAACGCAUC
rnacentral:rRNA from 1 species